rnacentral:rRNA from 1 species
CCAAUAGCGUAUAUUAAAGUUGUUGCAGUUAAAAAGCUCGUAGUUGAAUUUCGGGGUUAGUAGGUUGGUCGUGCCACUGGUACGUACUGGUCUCACUGAUUCCUCCUUCCUGAUGAACUGUAAUGCCAUUAAUUUGGUGUUGCAGGGAAACUGGACUGUUACUUUGAAAAAAUUAGAGUGUUUAAAGCAAGCUAACGCUUGAAUACAUUAGCAUGGAAUAAUGAAAUAGGACGUUCGAUCCUAUUUUGUUGGUUUCUAGGAUUGACGUAAUGAUUAAUAGGGAUAGUUGGGGGCAUUAGUAUUCAAUUGUCAGAGGUGAAAUUCUUGGAUUUAUUGAAGACUAACUACUGCGAAAGCAUUUGCCAAGGAUGUUUUCAUUAAUCAAGAACGAAAGUUAGGGGAUCGAAGACGAUCAGAUACCGUCGUAGUCUUAACCAUAAACUAUGCCGACUAGGGAUCGGAUGAUGUUAAUUUUUUAAUGACUCAUUCGGCGCCUUACG